AGCUUUGCGCAGUGGCAGUAUCAUAGCCAAUGAGGUUUAUCCGAGGGGCGAUUAUUGCUAAUUGAAAAAUUUUCCCAAUACCCCGUGAUGACGACUUGAAAUAUAGUCGGCACUGGCAAUUUUUGAGUCUUUACGGAGA
rnacentral:snRNA from 1 species